GUUGCUUAAGGCUUUCAAGUGUGGAACUUGUGAAUAUAUAUUCCAAACCUUCACAUCUAUCUAUUUUCAAUAUCGUUAGGUUGGGCAAUUCAAGCAGAGUCAUAUUUGCGGACCUUGGGAUGGUGAUUGCAGUACAAGUAUCAUCACUUCCAUCACCAACAUUAGUAGUACUAUCAACAUCAUUGUUGUUUAUCCCUUUACUUUCAAAUACAUAGGAUGGAAACACUCUUGACAAGGCAUGACAAUCAGGCAUACUAAUCACUUUGGAGUAUUAGCAUAAGAACCAAGAAGCAACAACUUGAGAACACCACAACAACACAUGAAAAAUCAAUGGAUCUGUUUAAAUUAACAAAGCUUAGUUGUUUGCUACACACAUACACACAACAUGUGUUUCUAAAAAUAUGGUUACAAACACGAGUGCUUCCCACAACUAAGGUAAUUAUGAACAACUACAAAAAGGUAAACUAAAUCAAUCAUAAAAUUGGCCUUAUAGUGGGUUACAGGAGAUUAUAAACAACUUCAAAAAGGAAAUAGAAACAAGAAAAAAACAAAACUGUCACAUUGCUAAUUAACACAACUAAUUAGCAUUUAUUCAAAUUAAAACUUGAAAAUGAAGCGACUUUGAUUAGCAAUUAAUCAGCAUAUAUAUUUCACACGUAUCUGCAGGAACACAUGCAGAAUCAAAGUAUAAACACAUGCAAGUAUGAUAUAAACCAUAAAAUAUACAAAUAUUGUAACUAUGAAUUUUACUUGUGUGUACUGAAGAAGGGCUAAAUGCAAAACAUAGCAACACAUUUCCAUUUAUUCGUUUGUUAAAGCAUCGUACUUUCGUUUCUUUCUAUUUAAGCAACAGAAAUCGUUUCUAUUUUAAUAACUUUUUUUUGUUUUUUUUUAAACUCGAGUUGGAGAAAAAAGUUUAUUUGAUGGUACGAGUUUAAGUUUCUACUCCAAAAGCUAUUUCAAGUAGAUUUUAGCAUCUUUCAGUUUUUUGAAAUUCUACACCGUUAAGUGUUAACUACUUUUAUGGAAUAAUUACACACAAGUAAUCACCAUAGAGAUCUCAAACCAAGUACAAAGGGCUUUUUUGAGACCAUAUAUACCGGAAUUUUAGAAGCCAACAAACUUCACCCGGUUGGUGGGCAACACUUAGGGGAGAAGUCAUGUAAACCUCCUCAUGAAGAUCGUUGUUCAAGAACACAUUCUUACCAUCCAUUCAGAAUAUCUUCACUAACUAACGAAUGGAUGCAACUGUGUUAUUAGAGUACGACAUUCAUCACUUUUGUCGUCAAUUUUUGUGUGGGUGAAACUAACCCUUCUUAUGAGUCUAGUGAAGAGUCAUAAGUUCCUCAACUAUAGCAUUCUACCAAAGGAGAUCAUAAACAGCCUCUCUGUACGACUUGGUUUCUCACAUAUUAUGUAUAUUGGCAAUAAAUGAAGCAAACAAAGUCAAAAUAAGAUGGAUAAGAAAAUUGCAUGAGUUUGAUGGACUUACAAGUACCGUUGGACUUAAAAUGUGGUGGAAGUUUCAUAGUCACAGUUAGAGAGGAGCAUUUAGACCAAAAACCAAAUCGAAUCGAAUCGAACUGAAUUAGGCCUGAAUAAGCAAUUCGGUUCGGGUUUCGGGUAUCUAUAUUAGGCUUAGUCGGUUCUCGAAUUUUUCGGUUUGGGUUACCCAAAUAAGUGCUUAUUCGAUUCAAAAUAUCCGGCCCAGAAUUUCAGCAUGGUUGCAGAAAUUUAGGCAACUUUGAACUGUAAUGACGUCUUCGUUAUUUACCCCAUUUGCCUAUUUUUUUCCAUCUUGUAGCUCACGGUUUAAACUACUAUUUACAUAGUUUAUAUGCUAUUUUUGGUUAUAUAUUCAAUGAGAUACAUGCCCCUAAAUAUGGGGUAUUGAAGCUAAAUUUUCUGUUUCAGCAUGUUUGUAGAAAUGUAGGCAACUUUGAACUAUUAUAGGGUCUUCAUUAUUUGUCCGAUUUGCUUGAUUUUGGGGGUUGGAUUUUACAUUCUUAUAUCUCAAGAAUAGUUAACCCGUGUUUACAAUAAAUUUAGAGAAAAAGUGAAAUCAUUUUUGGUGUAUAUCGAAUCUUUUGUUCGUUAAUUUGGGAACAAAAACAUACAAAAUAUAAAUUCGUGUUUACAUUUAAGUCUACAGUUAUAUAUUUGUCCAUGCUGCGCAUGCUUAUUACACAAAUUCUGACAUUUUUUUGCAUCUUUGAAACAAUUAUAUAUACUUUCAUUAUUUUUAAUCAAACAAGAUUGUUUCUUUAAUAGUUUUGUUAUGGAAUCAUAAGCUACAAAAGUAUUAAAAAAUACAGUUUUUAUAAUCAUAUUGUAAAUGUUAUUCGGGUUAUGGAAUCAUAAUACGGUUUAUUUGCUUUUUUUCAGUUAUAUUAAGUCAUUAAUCAUAUCGUGAAUGUUAUUCGGGUUAUUCAAGUAAUAACUGACCCGAACCGAUUAAUACCCGAAUCGAACCGAACUCGUAUUAGGUUAUUCGAUUCGAGUUUCGGUUCCUCCGAUUAGCCUUAUUCAGUUUUUAGAUUAUUCAGGCUCAGGUAAAGUCGGUCCGGUUCCGACCCGAAUAACAUCCUAGUCACGGUAGGUAAACAAUAAGAGGAACUGGAGCAAUGUAUGAUGUUGUAAGCAUAUUAUAAAUUGGGUCAUCAGAUGCAAUGUUAUCUCUUUAAUUCAAAUGUACUAGAGUUGAUUAUCUAAUACAUCCAAUGGAUGAAAACAACAUUAAAAUCAAUAGCUAGUUAUAAAGAACGUUACAACAACAUUAUGCAUAUUUUAUUGGUCCUACACCUAAAGUACAUCACCACGUUAACAAUAAGCAUAGAUCCUAAAUAUCCCAAAUAGGUAAAAAAAAACAGUAUAUCAAAAAUUAAGAAUUUACAUGUAAUGUUAGGCCUCAUUAUUUAGUAGCGGAUACUUGGACUUUCUUUGGUAAUCUCAUCUGCAUGAUCAACAAACAUAAUUUACCUUUAACUAAGAUAUAAAAUAAGUUUAACUAGUCUACAAAUAAUAGAUUAUUAGAGAAUUUUGACCUUAGAUUUUGUGGUUCGCCAUCCUAUUGCGUUGGCUUCUGGAUGGCUUCUGGAGAUGUAUAGGCAAAUUUUUUCAAACGGAUUUUAUGAGUCGCCUUUACUCAAACUUGUAACACUAGAAGGUGAGACUUCCUACAAUUAAAAUCCCGAUUGUUACACAUGACAGUAUAUGACAAAACAAGUUGUAUUGCAUCUGGAAUGUAUUGGAUCGGGACAGUGUGACUGAUUUCAAUAAGACAAAAGUUGCAAUUUUUAAGGGAGUCGUUUUUUAUUUGACAUAUAUGCAAAAUUACCUUAUUUUUGUGGAUGCAUCGAUAUGUUGGAUUUCUAGUCUGUCAGAAUAAAAGAGUACCUGCAUAUAGAAAAUUUAAAUAAGUGGGUUGUAUCAUAGUUACCAGAAACGCGGUACGAUACGGGGAACGAGGUACGGUACGGGUUUCAAAACAUUGACCGUAUCGGGUACCGGGGGGNGGGGGGGGGGUAGGCUCAUUUCUGUACAAUCCGGUACAGUUUAUUGUAUAGUCCGGUAGAGUGUGCCUAGUUCUAAGACAUUUCAUAAAAUAUAUGUAAUUAUGUAUUCUAUUACUUAAACUUAAUAACAAAAGUACUAAUUAUCAAAACAGGAACAAAAUAAAUACCACAAUUACUUCAUCAUAAUACUUAAUAACAAAAAUAUUAAAAUACUAUAAAGGCAUAAACUAGUUUAUCCGUUGCCUUUUUCCACUUUCAUUCUCCACGCCUUCAUCAUCAAGGUUCUCCCACACCAUUUCUUCUAGACAAGCACUUGAACAUUCAAUGUGAUCACUUUCCGGAUUGAUGUCCCAUUUUUUGUUGGGUCCGACUUUGUAAGAUUCUGAAAACCGAGACAAAAGUCUAAUAUUAGAGUGAAUAUACACAAGUUUAUCCGCUCUUGGGCCAUUUAAACGAUUCCUUUUGAUGCUAUGUAUAUGAGAGUAUGUACUCCAAUUCCUCUCAGCUGAAGAGCUACUAAUCGGUUGCGAGAGGAUUUCUUUUCAUGCCUCCUGGUGCCAACUUUGCAAGAUAAUGCUUGUCAUAAUAUUUAUGAUUUAAAUCAAAUCCUAAACAAUGGAGAGGGAUAGUCAUCUGGUCCCACCUUUCGACCAUAAUUUCAUCAACUUUAGUGUAAUAGAUUGAGAGUUUAUUGUCCCUCAUAGUAAUAGCCUCUUUGAUUUAACCCAUAAUAUUGUCCAUUCAUUCAUAUAUUUCUGCCAUUUUCAGACAUUCACCAUCACAAAACUUUACCAUGUAAAAGAUAGGUUUUGUGACAGCCAAAUUGUGAGCAAUAUCAUCCCAAAAAUCUUCAUCUUUAAUUGUAUCUGCAACCUUAUUAACAAGUACUUGAGUGUGCGGAUCCACCGUGUUGACCAUUCUCGCCACGAGUUUAAGCCAAUAGUAGUAGCAAGUGCUUCCCUACACUCGGUUAGUCUUUUCAACAAUAUGUAAUGUGAUGCAAAUCGUGUUUGUGCAACCUUCAACAAUUGCAAUUUCGAGUUGUCUCUAAAGAAAGCUAAGGCGUGUGUGUGGUUUAAAAAAACGUAACAAUACCCUUCCCUCUGUUAUAUGUAUCGGUCAGCCAGUCAAAUUGCUUCGCCAUGUCUAUAAAAAUCAAAUUUAAAGAAUGUACACAACAAGGGGACCAGAAAAUAUGUUUAUAUACCUUCUGUAUUUCUCGUCCAGCCGCCUUGCAAUUCGCCGCGUUAUUGGUUACAACUUGAGUAACACUACUUGGACCAAUCUCCUCAAUAGCUUGUCGAAGAAACUUAGCAAUCUCCACCCCCAUCUUCUCAAUCCCCGAAAAGGCCUCCGCAUACAUAAAAGUUGCACCACGUGAAUUUUGUGCAAUAACAUUUAUAAGCGGUUCAUUUUUUACAUUAGACCAACCAUCUGAGAUAACGAAUACUCCUUGCGUUAACCACGUGUCUUUGACCGGAUCAAGUUCUUUGCCCACAUCUCUCACAAAUUGAUCAAGCAAUGAAGUUCUAGCUUUUUCAUAUGAAGGUGGCUUGUAACCUUCCGAUGCUUUCUUAAUAGCUUGAAUCAUUUCAAUGAAUUGCGGGUUCCGUAACACAUUAAAGAGAAUCCCAUUAGCACACAAGCCUCGAAGUAUCUUCAUGUCAACCUCCUCUCUCUCGAGCAUCUUAAAUGCAUCUUCAAUCCUUCUUUUUGGAGUUGAGUUUUUUGAGAGCAACGAAUUCUUCAAUAAUUUGGCAGCAACACCAUUCUUUUCCGCUUCUUUCACCCUAUUAUAUAGAACGUCAUAAUACGGGUUACUUUUAACAAGAACCGGACACCUUUUGAUCUCAGUUGUUUUCCCUGCAGGAGGUCAGAAAGUGAACAUGGAUUCUAGUAUAAGAGCUGGUAUAUUUUCCUUUACAGUGGUUACAGGUCCAACGUUUAGAACCUCCACUAUUCUUGUUGUUUCCUAGAACUUCUUUAUAUGUAACUUCUUCAUGGAGUGGUUUUCUUGGAUCUUUCUCAACACUGUUUUUUGGGGCUGUUUGUUGAACCUCAUCAUCAACAUGGAUUGUUGUUUGAUCUUGGGUCUCACUAAUAUGAGUGCUUUCUGUUUCACUGUCAGAAUGAGUUGGCUGAGACUCUGAAAAAUUUUUUCUUCCAAAUUCCAUUCUUCACAAUGGGAUGCACAAUUUAUAGUGGAAAGUGGAAACUAGAAAAUUAGAUAUAACUAAAAUCGAAAUUGAAGACAGAAAGCUGAAAUGGAAAUUGAGUUUGAAUGUCCGAUACAAGAUUACAAGGUCUAUAUAUACUAAUCUCAAAGAUUUGCAAUUAACACUUUUACAAUGUGAAAUUAAAAUUGAGAAGGCUAGGCAUCAAUGAUCGAUCCAUAGUAUCUAGCUGAGUCAACGAUCGGAGAAGUCGAAUAGCCUCUGUGAAACGUGGCUAAACUCCCGCCCAAAUCGCCAUUCAGUCGAUGCAUAAAACCCGAUCGGCAACAACAAAUCGACUUCACGUACGCUCUAUUUUGACUUCAGGGACGUUCGAUUUUGACUCCGGGUACGAUCGAUUUAGACUCCAAGAACGUUAAUUGGUUCGAUUGGGAUCGCUAUUAGGUUCGAUUUGGGUCGCGAUUGGCGUCGACUGUAUCAUUUUCUAGGUACGUUCACAUAUCACGUAUUGGACCGGUUUCCAAUCGUUUGGGUACAGGGUGUUUCGGUACGUGGUACGCCACUACUUCGACGUUUCUGGUGACUAUGGGUUGUAUAUCUCCAUAGGAUCAAACAAGUAAAAUUAAAAUAAAACAUAGCCAAAUUUCAAAACAUGUCAAGUGACUUAAAAGUCAGCCAAAGUGUAAUCAAAUGCAUCCAAGGGUUCGAAUUGGUUGAGUCAAGAAAUUAGAUUAUUAGGGUAAAUACAAGAGAUAGCAACAUACUUUCAUUUUACUUGUGUAUGAUUUCUUCGUAUUAUAGCAUUUUAGUUUCAGGUUUUUUUUCUUAUUAAAGCAGUGCACUUUGAAAAAUCUACCCAAUUAUAGCAGCGAAAAUUGCUUUGUAUAUAGAUGACAUUGCUAUAAUUGGGUUGGUUAUUCAAAGUACAAUACUGUAAUAGAAAAAAAUAAAGGUAUGAUGCUACAAUAUGAAAAUCAAAGAACCAACAUUACUAUUUCUUGCAAAUAACCAUAGAUUUUUAUUGUAAUAAAGAGAUUUUGUAAUCAUAUUCAAGACAUGGAUCAAUUAUAAAGUUAGGAAAAUGAACAAAAAAAACAUUUCCAGUAAACCUAAGGCAUGACACAACUCCCAACUCCCAAAAAAUAAAUCAGAAAAAAGACCGAUAUACCCUCAAUAACUAUACACCAGAUAUGCGACAAGAUAUUAUAAAAGUAUGAAUUGAUAUCAUACCUUGUUUAAAAGCUGCACAUUGGAUGAAUCAGUUGCCACAACAUGUAACCCAAGACAAUUGUGUUGAUCACUACAAAAAGGGCAGAAAGCCGUAUUAAAUACACAUCCAUCUUCUUUACUCCAUAUUCCUUCAUCACCACUUCUUUUCCAAAUUCUCCCAUCAACACAUGAAAGAUCAGACACCACAAUAGCCACACUUGCCCCACCCUUUUCUCUCCCUUUCCAACUUGACACCAAAUGCACUUUAGAUAAUGACAUUGAUGAACAAGGGACAAAAUAGUCAUUUUCCGCAAGACCCAAUGGAGUUUUACAGAGUGAACACGAUAUUUUUAGAUCUUUCUUGGUUUCAUCACCAAGAUUCAUGGUUUCUUUCACUGGAAAUGUGGGUUUGGGUUUGGGGGAAUCAAAUUGGGACAUUUUGACUGAUGCAAAAGCUGAAGACUUUCUUCUUUUGUGAAAAUGGGAAUUGACACUUGAAUCUAGAGGUGAAUUGGUUUGAGGGAUUUGUUGUUUUUUAGGUGUUGGUGUUGUUGUGUUCAUGCAUUCAGAAGCUGAAGUGGAACAAGGGGAAGAAAAGGAACAAGUGGGAAACUUUGAUUGGAUUAUGGUUGACUCAGAGACAGAUUCAAGAGUAGCAGGGUAACUGUUCUUGAUUGGUGUUUCCUUCAGAAUAGGUGGCUCAUGGUCAAGGGCAUUAUCGUCAUUUCUCGGGGUUUCAUGAACAAUGGUUAAGUCGAAAUCGUCAUCAUGAGAUAUAUUCAUUGAUGGUGGCGAUGGAAACCUGCACCCAUCAUAAGACAUACAUCUGUUACCAACUUCUAUUCUCUUUUAGAGUAAUUACAAGAAUGGUCCCUGUGUUAUUCCCAACAUUUCAGAUUCAGUCCAACUUCUAUGAUAAAAUGACUUUUCUACCCUCACAUGUUUCUUUUUAAAGAACAUUGCAUUUUUGGUCCCCAAGUAUAGCUGAUGUUUUUAAUUUUGGUCCCAAAAGGUUGUCAUGCUAAUUUGGUCCUUAUUUAAGAUUUUUGUAACGUUUUUUGUCCCUGUUCCUAGUAAAAUGGCUAUUUUUGGGAUCGAAAUUUCAAAAAUCACACCCAUAGACCAAAAUGGUCACUUAAUUUGGAACCGGGACCAAAAACAUUACACGAAUGUCAAAUAAGGACCAAAAAUGCAAAAGAAAACCUUUUAGUACCAAAAUUGCAAAAAGCAACCAUACUCAAGGAGCAAAAAUGUAAUUUGACUCUUCUUUUUAACUUUUCUAUAAUUUGUUUAUUUUAAACUAUUGUUAGAUGUCAUUUUACAUGGAUCAGUGACAGAUCAGAAACAAAAACCAAUGUUAGGGACCAAUUUGAAACAAAAAAAAAAAACAUUGGACUGAAUAUGCAACAGUGGGUAUAACACAAGGACCAUUCUUGUAACUAACUCUUUUUAUUUCAAUGAUUGAAAGAACAAGACGCGUAGAUAAAAUAACAAGUUUAAAAUACCUGUUUUGUGUCUCCAAAUCACCUUUGGAGUCAGUGUAAGUUAUACCAGUAUUGAUGUCACUCUUUUUCACUCCCCUAAUUGUUUCCUGAGGUCUAGAUUCUGCUUUGAGGGAGGGGCAAUGUAACUUUUUAGAUGUAAUCGGAAACUUUUUUAAUAUUAAUGUGUAACCUCACUAUGAGAAACCUUCAUCAACAAAAAUUAUGAACCCUAAUGAAAAACCAAAAAAAAAAAAAAAAAAUAGAAAAUAAAGAGUGAUACAAAAUGCCUUCAUCAUUUCAACAUCUAUCAUUUCCAUAUUCUCUUUUUCAUAGUCCAUACAGGUCCCAUUGGUUUUCUUGAUUGGUAUUUCCUUCAUACUGGGUGGCUCAUAGUCAAGGGCAUUAUCGUCAUUUCUCAGGCUUUCAUGAACAAUGGUUUAUUUGAAAUCGUCAUGAGAUAUAUUCAUUGAAGGCGACGAUAAAAACCUGCACAGAACAUAAGAAGAUAUAUAUAACCGAAUUUCAUUCUUUUUAUCUCAGAAGUUGAAAACAAAACAGAGCUUUAUGAUCUUUGCUAAUAAAGCAUUUGUAGUUGAGACUCACUUCUUCAAGAAUGAAGUGCUUUUAUACAAAUCAAACAUUAAUACUAGGGGUGUUGAACGGGUAAUUUUUUCGGGUUUCGGGUAAUUCGGGUCGGGUAAUUCGGGUUUUUCAUGUUAGAAAAAUUACCCGUUACCCUACCCAAACUAAAUUCGGGUAAUUCGGGUAUCGGGUCGGGUUUGGGUAAUUCGGGUAUUACCCGAAAUAUAUGAUUUUUUUUUUGAAUUUCACCUAAAAAUAAAUUUAAUGGAAUAAAUACGUCGUGCUUUAUUAGUCUUGUUUAUAUAAACAAACGAGACAUAAACGAAGUUACUCAAGCUUUGAACAUUGAGAUUUUCUACUCAAUAAUACAUGAGAUAUCAAGUAUUUUUGUAACGACUUAAUCUAAUCUAAUAAGAUGUUAAAAAAACAAAUACCUAAAGAUCUUAAUUUAAAAGUUUAAAAUGUUUAAGAUAAACGUAGUCAUAAGUUUUGCCAUGUUUUAAAGUUUCGUCAAGAUAAUGAGUUUGUUAAUUGUAAUAAAAACUAUAAUAUAGAAAACAGUUAAGUUUUAAAGAACGUGAUGAUAUAUAAAAAUUACUUUUAAUAUUGUUAGUGUCGUAUUGUCAUAAUAAAUAUAUUUAUGUUUUAUAAUAAUGAUAUUAGUUUAAGCGUGAUCAAAUACUUGCUAUAUAGUACAAGCUCUAUAAGAAAAAUGAAAUUUUAAAAUAAUUUGGGUAAUUCGGGUAAUUCGGGUAUACCCGAAAUCCAAAAAAUGUACCCUUUACCCGACCCGAAAAAAAUCGGGUAACCCGAUUACCCGGAAAAUUUACCCGAUACCCGAUUUACCCGACCCGAUUUACCCGUUACCCGAAAAAAUCGGGCGGGUAAUUCGGGUAUCGGGUAUUUUCGACAGGGCUAAUUAAUACACUCAACUUACACUAUUUGUAAUGUAGAGGUUGAGCAACAAGAUCAUUUGAAAUGUGAGGUUGCUGCCAGGACUUGGUUUGAGAUUUUUAAAUGGUUGGAGAUUUCACAAAUUCCUUUUGAUUCCGUUCCUGAUUUGUUUAUGUUGGUGGAUCAGUUGCCUAUCGCUUCGAAAAAGAAAGUUGUCUUGGAUACUGUGGUCUGAAUUUCUAUUUGGUAUAUCUGGAGGUUCAGAAAUAAAAAAGUGUUUGUUUGAGGAAAGAUAAGGCGGAGUGAGAUUGUGGACUCUAUUAUCCAAUUUUCUUAUCUUUGGUAUAAUAACAGGAACAGCAAAUGUAUCAUAGAUAGGAUAAAUUGCCAGUGAGGCUAUUUCAGAAAAAAAUGAAAAAUACACUCAACUUACAAGAGGUGCCAUUGAAGAAUUUUAUCAAACACUUGGUGUUCAUAAAAAUAAAGAACACAGAUCUGUUGAAUUAAGGGCAGUUUUAGGUUAUUCAUUCUUUUUCUUUUCUUUCUUGUCCAGUAUGUGCUAAGAGAGUUUCAUCUAUGUAUUACCAUUCUAUGCACCUUCAACCCCUGAAUUUAUGCAUUAUUUAAAAUAAUUGAAUAUGUACAAACCAACCAAAAAAAAACUUGUGUAAUUAUUGCUAAGUUAGUCACAUCUUAAUCAAAUAGAAGAAAUGGACACAUCAUACAUGAGAUUACAUGAAACUAGAAAUUCAAUAAUUCGAAUUGAAAUUUUAAGCAAGCAACUCUGAUUACAAGUCAAUUCAAUGAUCAGAUAAUUAAGGUAGAGAAACAUGUACAUGAUUAGGAAGAAGGAAACAAGUGUAGGAUGUAAUCAUACCUAUGCUAUUUAGCUGACUUCAAAAUGAGCCAAACUGGACGUGUGAAUUCAAAUGUUCCUCUAGAACUGCCAUCCCUGUAGGAGAUUACAAAAAAGUGGUAAAUUAGAGAGUAAUGUAAAGUUUUUGUUGGAAAAAACAUUAGUCUGUUAAUAAUAACCAAAGGUGACACCACAUACCUCUUGUUGAUAGGUCUUUAUAAAAGAGUUGGGUUCUUCUGUUACAUGACAAAAUCCAAAAGUUGUAUCUAUUAACUUUAGCUCCGGAGUAGUUGAUUGCCCAUUUGUGAAUACUGUUAUUUUUGGACAAUAUUUGAUUUCCAAAGUAUCUAAUGAUGGCCAUUCAAAAGCCUCCUUCCCCAGGCAAAAUCCCUUGAGAUUUGGAAGCUUUUCAAGUGUUAUGGAUUUCAGACAAGGGAACACAACCUCAGUAGUAGUCAGUCUGGUUUCGGAAUCUUCAACUUGCUUCACAAUCACAUCCAUACUCUCGCAGUCACUUAUUUUUAGCUCUUGGAGCUGGAAUAGACUACCAACCAUGCAACUACUGAAAACGUGUCCAAGAAGCUUACAACUUACAAUUGAGACCUUUGUAAGGUUUGGAAAGUUCAACACUAUCCACCGAUUGCUCUUCCACACAUGCUUCAGAGUAUUUAUUCCACCCAAAGUCACCUCUUUCAGCUUCUCAAAUACCACAACAGAUUGCAUUCCAAUAUCCACAUCUUCAUUUGUCCCUUCUGCUACUUCAAAUACUUCCUCUAUUUUAGAUUCACCAUACUUCCUGGUAAUAGAAAGCUUUUCAAGAUUCUUCAAAUUAAGCAACUCCUUGCAUGGAAAAAUUAUGCGGCUUUCCAACAAUUUGUCAAUCCAUUGUGCAUCUACUUCAACUAAAUUUGAAAGAGACCACGGGAACUGAAGUAGCUUUAUCAAAUCUGGAGUAGAGCACAUAGGGAGUUGAGUCUGCUAAGAAAAAUCAAACAUAGAUAGAUCAUCACAAACACGACAAUUACUAAAGAAAAAUACAUUUAAUAUUACAAACAUAAUAAGGAUUGCAAGUUAUGUUAUUCUUCAAUGAGCCAACAUGUAUUUUCAAUCAACAACCUAGUUUAUGACACUGCUUACAUUAUAUUUUGUGAAGAUGAGCAUCAUGAAGAAAAUUUCUGCAUUAUAUAUUGCAUUUGCUCAAACAAUUUAGAUUGUUAUCGAUGAUUGUUGAGUCUUUUUAAAUAAAAGUAAAAAUUAUAGUUUGUGGGUGAGUGGGUAGGGAGGAUAAAAUAAAAAGUAAAAGUUAAGUGUUUUGGCUACUUCAAAAAGGGUAAUUUUUCAUGUACUGAAUAUUUACAUCCAAUUUUUUUAGGAAAAAAGAUAAUUAUGUUAUUGUAUUUUUUAUUGCAUUGUCAAAUACAACAAAUGAUAUAUGGAUGAUAUGCUUACACUUUUACAAUCAUCUCAGCUAUACUAUUUUCGUCAAUUUUAGGUAAUAAACGCUAAAAAAAAAUGUUUACCUUGUAAAAGAUGAGAGAGAAAAGAAGAACUUGAUUAAGUAACAACUAGCAUCACAAUAUUUAUAAAAUAUGUUAGAUAAUUGAAUUAAAUUGGAUGAAAACGAUAUAAAUGAUUUAAUUACAAUAUAUACUUCCAUACAAAAAUCUAUUUGUUAACAGAUAUGAGUGAAAAUAUGUAUAAUAAGGCAAUGCUUUAAUUUCCAUCUAUUUUGUGUUUUCUUUUCUUAACCGAAUGAAGAUGUUAGUUCUAAGUUCCUAAUUAAUGAUAUAUGACAAGUACCAAACGAUCACAUUCUAUGAAAUUUACAAAUGAUUUGAAUAAGAAUGAACUUGCCAAGUAUCAUUUGUAAUACACAAGAAAAUAAUUUUUUAUUUUCAUAUAUUUGAUAUAAAUUCUUAAGUCUUGUAUUUUUAAGGAACGUAACUAUUAUGUGAAUUUUAGAAGCACUUUUUCUUAGGUGCUUAUUUUGUUAUUCCUUUAAUUGAAUACUUGCCCAAACUCAGAGCCACUAGUUAGAUUGUUUGUUUUUCUACAAAGCGAUCAAUUUUUUGUCAAAUUAAAAUACGUUUUAGCGAAAACUGCAAAUUUGGUCCCUGUAUUUGUUGAUUUUUGUGGUUACAAUGGGGACAGUGUAAUAAAGAAGGGGUUGUUGAUCUGAUUCUGAUCAAACGGAAACUAGUAUUGUAUAUGUUCAGAAAUCUUUGGACAUGGAAAAAACCACCCUCAAUGAAUGCGUCAAUUGGGCUUUUUGUCUUUACUUCAUCUAACUUGAUUAAAAUAAUAAAUUGCUAACUUAUGAAUUAGUGAAUAUAACAUCUUUUAUAACAUAAGAGACAACUUAAUAUCUUAGGAAUGAAAUAUUAACUUAUAAUAAAAAAAUAAAAUUGCAUAUUUUCGUAACUUUUUAUAGAUACAAAAAAUGGGAAGUGGUUAUAUAUGUAUCUUCAUUUGGUUUUGUUUGUGUUUCCUUCCGGAAUACACAUAUGAACCGACUAAAUUAGUAAGCAAAUAAUAUGUUGAACAUCAUAAAACGACAUCCUGAUCACCUGGUUAAAUGAUGAAGUAAGGUAACAACAUACCUCAUGUGUAGCAUUGGUCAAAUGGAAGUUGAGGCCAUAUUGAUCAAGACUAUGCUUGCCUAAUUCUGUAUGUAUGUAAUUGAGCUUCGGAGUCAUGGAGUGACCAGAUGUGAAAUUCAUCAUUUGUGGGCAGCCAUAAAUCUUAACCUUUUCCAAUGCUUUCCACUUGAACUCAUUCUUCCCCAAGAAGAAACCCUUGAGAUCUGGUAAAUCUGCAAGUGUAAGGGACUUGAGACGAGGGAAGAAACCCUUGAGUUCUGGUAAAUCUCCGUCUUCCUUCACAAUCACUUUCACUGCCUUGCAUUGUUUUACAGUCAGUUUUUUGAGUUGCUUGAGGCUUUCAAGUGUGGAACUUGUGAUUAUAUAUUCCAAUACUUCACAUCUUUCUAUUUCCAAUAUCGUUAGGUUGGGCAAUUGAAGCAGAGUCAUAUUGGCCGACCUUGGGAUGGUGAUUGCAGUACAAGUAUCAUCACUUCCAUCACCAACAUUCGUAGUACUAUCAACACCAUCUUUUUUUAUUUCUUUACUUUCAAAUAUCUCCACCAUUGACUUACAUUCUUCUAUUCUCAACUCUUCAAGC
rnacentral:lncRNA from 1 species